AACGAACGCUGGCGGCGUGGAUUAGGCAUGCAAGUCGAACGAACAUUUAGCUUUUCCGAAUGUUAGUGGCGAAAGGGUGAGUAACACGUGGGUUACCUGCCCUAGGGUUCGGGAUAACCUGUCGAAAGACGGGCUAAUACCGGAUACGUCUCCGUUAUUUAACUAUAGCGGAGAGAAAGAUGGGGAUUCGUAAGAAUCUAUCACCCUUGGAGUGGGCCCGGCCGGCCUAUCAGCUAGUUGGUGAGGUAAGUGGCUCACCAAGGACUAAGACGGGUAGCUGGUCUGAGAGGAUGGUCAGCCACACUGGGACUGAGACACUGCCCAGACUCCUACGGGAGGCUGCAGUC
rnacentral:rRNA from 1 species